CUCGGUUUAGCUCAAGUGGAUAGAGCGCGCGGCUGUGGACCGCGAGAUUGAGGUUCGAGCCCUCGAGCCGGGACCA
rnacentral:tRNA from 1 species